GACUCGGUAGCUAAGUUGGUAAAACGCUCGUCAAGCAUACAAGAGUCCUGGGUUCGAAUCCCAGCCGAGCA
rnacentral:tRNA from 2 species